rfam:Ordospora colligata OC4 contig_09, whole genome shotgun sequence.
GGGUUCGUAGCUCAACGGUAGAGCAAUCGAUUGCAGAUCGAUAGGUCGCAGGUUCGACUCCUGUCGUGCCCU